rnacentral:rRNA from 1 species
CAGCAGCCGCGGUAAUACGUAGGGUGCGAGCGUUAAUCGGAAUUACUGGGCGUAAAGGGCUCGCAGGCGGUUUCUUAAGUCUGAUGUGAAAGCCCCCGGCUCAACCGGGGAGGGUCAUUGGAAACUGGGAAACUUGAGUGCAGAAGAGGAGAGUGGAAUUCCACGUGUAGCGGUGAAAUGCGUAGAGAUGUGGAGGAACACCAGUGGCGAAGGCGACUCUCUGGUCUGUAACUGACGCUGAGGAGCGAAAGCGUGGGGAGCGAACAGGAUUAGAUACCCCAGUAGUCCCUGUCUCUUAUAC